rnacentral:rRNA from 1 species
AUUGAACGCUGGCGGCAGGCCUAACACAUGCAAGUCGAACGAGUGGCGGACGGGUGAGUAAUGUCUGGGCAACCGCCUGAUGGAGGGGGAUAACUACUGGAAACGGUAGCUAAUACCGCAUACCAUCGGAUGUGCCCAGAUGGGAUUAGCGAGUAGGUGAGGUAAUGGCUCACCUAGGCGACGAGCCCUAGCUGGUCUGAGAGGAUGAUCAGCCACACUGGGACUGAGACACGGCCCAGACUCCGACGGGAGGCAGCAGUGGGGAAUAUUGCACAAUGGGCGCAAGCCUGAUUCAGCCAUGCCGCGUGUAUGAAGAAGGCCCUAGGGUUGUAAAGUACUUGCAGUCGGGAGGCGUUACCGACAGAAUAAGCACCGGCUAACGCCGUGCCAGCAGCCGCGGUAAUAC